UACGUAGGGUGCGAGCGUUGUCCGGAAUUACUGGGCGUAAAGAGCUCGUAGGUGGUUUGUCGCGUUGUUCGUGAAAUCUCACGGCUUAACUGUGAGCGUGCGGGCGAUACGGGCAGACUAGAGUACUGCAGGGGAGACUGGAAUUCCUGGUGUAGCGGUGGAAUGCGCAGAUAUCAGGAGGAACACCGGUGGCGAAGGCGGGUCUCUGGGCAGUAACUGACGCUGAGGAGCGAAAGCUAGGGGAGCAAACAGG
rnacentral:rRNA from 1 species